UUUUAAAUUAAAUCUGUAAACCAACGGAAUUGUCGAUUCGAAUUUUUAAUCAUCAGUCUUCGGGAGACGAAUCUUUAAUUAAUUAAUGAUAAUUCUCUAAUGUGAAUCUCGAAAAUUGUAAUAGAAGUAUGGUUUAAGUUUCCAUGAUAUAUUGUAUCUCAAUAGGCUACGAACAGGCCAUGCGAACUCGCACACAAUUUUUAAGAUGGCGGCGCACACCGAUUUAGGCACUAUUUAUGGGUAUUUCAUCAUCAUUUUCGUCGUCUGUACCAGACACAGCAUUAUCUUACCAUUGAGCAUUGAAUUUGUGGAUUAUCUUUUAGCUGAUGGAGUUUUUCUUCCAAAUAGUGAAGACCAUAAAUUUCCAGAAAAUGAAGAUGAAUCUGAUAAUGAAGAAUGGGAUGAUGAUGAUGAUGAUGAUAAAGAUAAGGCACCACAUUUUCCUGAAUUUGAUCAAAAUG
rnacentral:lncRNA from 1 species